CCUACGGGAGGCUGCAGUGGGGAAUAUUGGACAAUGGGCGAAAGCCUGAUCCAGCCAUGCCGCGUGUGUGAAGAAGGCCUUCGGGUUGUAAAGCACUUUCAGUGGGGAAGAAAGCCUUGGGGCUAAUACCCUCGAGGAAGGACAUCACCCACAGAAGAAGCACCAGCUAACUCCGUGCCAGCAGCCGCGGUAAUACGGAGGGUGCGAGCGUUAAUCGGAAUUACUGGGCGUAAAGCGCGCGUAGGCGGUCUGAUAAGCCGGUUGUGAAAGCCCCGGGCUCAACCUGGGAACGGCAUCCGGAACUGUCAGGCUAGAGUGCAGGAGAGGAAGGUAGAAUUCCCGGUGUAGCGGUGAAAUGCGUAGAGAUCGGGAGGAAUACCAGUGGCGAAGGCGGCCUUCUGGACUGACACUGACGCUGAGGUGCGAAAGCGUGGGUAGCAAACAGGAUUAGAUACCCCAGUAGUC
rnacentral:rRNA from 1 species